CCACACGACUCUCGGCAACGGAUAUCUCGGCUCUCGCAUCGAUGAAGAACGUAGCGAAAUGCGAUACYUGGUGUGAAUUGCAGAAUCCCGCGAACCAUCGAGUCUUUGAACGCAAGUUGCGCCCGASGCCACCCGGCUGAGGGCACGCCUGCCUGGGCGUCACGC
rnacentral:rRNA from 1 species